rnacentral:rRNA from 1 species
UACAUGGGGUGCAAACGUUGCUCGGAAUUAUUGGGCGUAAAGCGCACGUAGGCGGUUCGUUAAGUCGGAUGUGAAAGCCCUCGGCUCAACUGAGGAAGUGCACCCGAAACUGGCGAGCUUGAGUACGAAAAGAGGAUCGCGGAAUUCCCGGUGUAGAGGUGAAAUUCGUAGAUAUCGGGAGGAACACCGGUGGCGAAGGCGGCUACCUGGACCAGCACUGACACUGAGGCACGAAAGCGUGGGGAGCAAACAGG